CGCGUAGGUGGUAGUGUAAGUCUGGGGUGGAAUCCCAGGGCUUAACCCUGGAACUGCCUUGGAAACUGUAUUACUUGAGUCAGUGAGGGGAGGGUAGAAUUCCUGGCGUAGCGGUGAAAUGCGUAGAUAUCAGGAGGAAGGCCUGUGGCGAAGGCGGCCCUCUGGCGCUGGACUGACACUGAGGCGCGAAAGCGUGGGGAGCAAACAGGAUUAGAUACCCUGGUAGUCCACGCCCUAAACGGUGGGCACUAGGUGUAGGGCUCGUAAGGGUUCUGUGCCGAAGGGAAACCAUUAAGUGCCCCGCCUGGGGAGUACGGCCGCAAGGUUGAA
rnacentral:rRNA from 1 species